rnacentral:rRNA from 1 species
AGUAAAAGUCGUAACAAGGUUUCCGUAGGUGAGUUGAGCCAAAUCUUUCUCACACAGUCUUGUCACAUAGCACAUCUCUUGAAUUACUAACCCUACAGUUCUCUCCCUGAAAACCACGCAUUGUGCGGUGAACUUCUGCUAACCCCAAGUUUGCAGGUGAACCUGCGGAAGGAUCAUUACUGAGUUCUGGGUCCUCCGGGGCCCGAUCUCCCACCCUAUGUUUACCUGUCCAUGUUGCUUCGGCGGACCCCCGUCGCCCCCGGCCUGGCCCGGGUGGCGGCGACCCGCCGGAGACCCCUCAAAAUUCGAACCGUCGAACAAAUGUUGUCUGAGUGAGAAGAGCGAAUAGAAACAAAACUUUCAACAACGGAUCUCUUGGUUCUGGCAUCGAUGAAGAACGCAGCGAAAUGCGAUAAGUAAUGUGAAUUGCAGAAUUUAGUGAAUCAUCGAAUCUUUGAACGCACAUUGCGCCCCCUGGUAUUCCGGGGGGCAUGCCUGUUCGAGCGUCAUUAUCAACCCUCAAGCCCGGCUUGCUGUUGAGCUUCCCGUCUGCCCGUCUCCGGGUGGACCGGCUCGAAAAUCGGUGACGGCCCCGGCCAGUCUCCAGCGCAGUACGAUUUACAUCACCGCUGACGAGACUUGCCCGGAGCGCCGGACAGCCCACCCCAUAUUUCUAUGAUUGACCUCGGAUCAGGUAGGGAUACCCGCUGAACUUAAGCAUAUCAAUAA